rnacentral:rRNA from 1 species
AACGAACGCUGGCGGCAUGCCUAACACAUGCAAGUCGAACGAGACCUUCGGGCCUAGUGGCGCACGGGUGCGUAACGCGUGGGAACCUGCCCUUAGGUUCGGAAUAACUCCCCGAAAGGGGUGUUAAUACCGCUUAAUGUCUUCGGACCAAAGAUUUAUUGCUUUUGGAUGGGCCCGGGUUGGAUUAGCCAGUUGGUAGGGUAAAAGCCUACCAAGGCGACGUUCCAUAGCUGGUCGGAGAGGAUGACCAGCCACACUGGGACUGAGACACGGCCCAGACUCCUACGGGAGGCAGCAGUGGAGAGUAUUGGACGAUGAGCGAAAGCGUGAUCCAGCAGUGCCGGGUGAGUGGUGAAGGCCUUAGGGUUGUAAAGCUCUUUUACCCGAGAUGAUAAUGACAGUACCGGGAGAAUAAGCACCGGCUAACUACGUG